rnacentral:rRNA from 1 species
AACGAACGCUGGCGGCAGGCCUCAUACAUGCAAGUCGAGCGAUUAAGACUCCUUCGGGAGUGUAUAAAGCGGCGAACGGGUGAGUAACAGGUGGAUGAUCUACCUUCCGGUGGGGGAUAACGGCUGGAAACGGCCGCUAAUACCGCAUUCGGUUAAUACGCUGCGGCGUAUUAAAGAAAGGCGCUUCAAAGCGCCGCCGGGAGAUGAGUCCGCCCCCCAUUAGCUAGUUGGUGAGAUAACAGCUCACCAAGGCAACGAUGGGUAGCCGAACUGAGAGGUUGAUCGGCCACACUGGAACUGAGACACGGUCCAGACACCUACGGGUGGCAGCAGUAGGGAAUAUUGGGCAAUGGGCGAAAGCCUGACCCAGCCAUGCCGCGUGAGUGAUGAAGGUCCUAGAGAUUGUAAAACUCUUUUCUGAGGAAAGAAUAAAUAGGGAAGGAAAUGUCCUUAUUUUGACGGUACCUCAGGAAUAAGCAACGGCUAACUCCGUG